rnacentral:pre_miRNA from 1 species
AAAAUUGGUCUGACCCAAAGCCCACUGGAGUCAAUGCAAGUCUCUGCAUUAACUUCAGAGGGUUUUGGAUCAAGCCCACUAUC